UCGUAGUGUAAUACAACAUCUCGUGGUUUCAGUUUCAUUGCUUAAUAGUAGUUACUGAAUUAGAGCGACAGUGUCAAUAAGCUGCACUUCAGUUGUCUAAUAACUUGUUAUGUAGGCCUAGGUAAUUACUAUUGACUGGCUGCAUAUCUUUGUGAGUGUUGUCAUAUCUUUGUGUUGAGGAAUUGUAGGAAGUUACUUAACCAAUUAAUUCUGUGUACUUUGUUUCAGGUUCUUCAUCCUGUAUAUUUACUGGAAGUUCAAACUCGAGCACUGGUGGAUUGAGUAUACCUCCAACAGCACUAGGGCCAUCAGGCCCCUUUGGUGGAAGUGUGAACCUGCAAGUGUGUAGCCUUAAGUAUUUGAUAUCUGCAAUUGCUGUAUUUUUGGCUCUAUGAAUGCUCUUUUAAUGGUUCGUGUAAUGUGUUCAUCAUCGAUUUUGUUUUUCUUUUGUCCAUUUUAUUCUUCAGAUGUGUCCCAUCUAGUGCAUUUGGGAUCAUUGUAAUUCAUCACUCUUAAGAUAGGUAGUUAUUAAAUCUAGUUUUUAUUUUUAUUUUA